rnacentral:rRNA from 1 species
GAUGAACGCUGGCGGCGUGCCUAAUACAUGCAAGUCGAACGAAACUUCUUUAUAACCGAGUGCAUGCACUCACCGAUAAAGAGUUGAGUGGCGAACGGGUGAGUAACACGUUGGCAACCUGCCCAAACGAGGGGGAUAACACUUGGAAACAGGUGCUAAUACCGCAUAACCAUAGUUACCGCAUGGUAACUAUGUAAAAGGUGGCUAUACUACCGCUUUUGGAUGGGCCCGCGGCGCAUUAGCUAGUUGGUAGGGUAAAGGCUUACCAAGGCAAUGAUGCGUAGCCGAAUUGAGAGGUUGAUCGGCCACAUUGGGACUGAGACACGGCCCAAACUCCUACGGGAGGCAGCAGUAGGGAAUCUUCCACAAUGGGCGAAAGCCUGAUGGAGCAACGCCGCGUGGGUGAAGAAGGUCUUCGGAUCGUAAAACCCUGUUGUUAGAGAAGAAAGUGCGUGAGAGUAACUGUUCACGUUUCGACGGUAUCUAACCGGAAAGCCACGGCUAACUACGUG